UCAGAACAAAUAUACUCAUUCCACCUUUCAACCGUGCUAGUUGAAUAAGUCAGCUAGUAUAUGUGUAUCCGGAUAAAAGACAAUGUCAGGUGAGCUGAAGCCACAAGAGUAAAG